GACGAACGCUGGCGGCGUGCUUAACACAUGCAAGUCGAACGAUGAAGGAGGAGCUUGCUCCUCUGGAUUAGUGGCGAACGGGUGAGUAACACGUGAGCAAUCUGCCCUUGACUCUGGGAUAAGCGCUGGAAACGGCGUCUAAUACCGGAUACGACCCUCGGAGGCAUCUCCUGUGGGUGGAAAGAACUUCGGUCAAGGAUGAGCUCGCGGCCUAUCAGCUUGUUGGUGAGGUAAUGGCUCACCAAGGCGACGACGGGUAGCCGGCCUGAGAGGGUGACCGGCCACACUGGGACUGAGACACGGCCCAGACUCCGACGGGAGGCAGCAGUGGGGAAUAUUGCUCAAUGGGCGCAAGCCUGAUGCAGCAACGCCGCGUGAGGGACGACGGCCUUCGGGUUGUAAACCUCUUUUAGCAGGGAAGAAGCGAGAGUGACGGUACCUGCAGAAAAAGCACCGGCUAACUACGUGCCAGCAGCCGCAGUAAAAC
rnacentral:rRNA from 1 species